rnacentral:rRNA from 1 species
AUAAGUAACAGGUCGUAGACCCGAAACCAGGUGAUCUACCCAUGUCCAGGAUGAAGGUAAGGUAAUACUUACUGGAGGUCCGAACCCACGCACGUUGAAAAGUGCGGGGAUGAGGUGUGGGUAGCGGAGAAAUUCCAAUCGAACUUGGAGAUAGCUGGUUCUCUCCGAAAUAGCUUUAGGGCUAGCCUCGAGGUAAAGAGUCAUGGAGGUAGAGCACUGUUUGGACUAGGGGCCCUUCUCGGGUUACCGAAUUCAGAUAAACUCCGAAUGCCAUGUACUUAUACUCGGGAGUCAGACUGCGAGUGAUAAGAUCCGUAGUCGAAAGGGAAACAGCCCAGACCACCAGUUAAGGUCCCCAAAUAUAUGUUAAGUGGAAAAGGAUGUGGGGUUGCUUAGACAACCAGGAUGUUGGCUUAGAAGCAGCCACCAUUGAAAGAGUGCGUAAUAGCUCACUGGUCGAGUGACCCCGCGCCGAAAAUGUACCGGGGCUAAACAUAUUACCGAAACUGUGGAUGAACCUCAUUAGAGGUUCGUGGUAGGAGAGCGUUCUAAGGGCGGUGAAGUCAGACCGGAAGGACUGGUGGAGCGCUUAGAAGUGAGAAUGCCGGUAUGAGUAGCGAAAGAAGGGUGAGAAUCCCUUCCACCGAAUAUCUAAGGUUUCCUGAGGAAGGCUCGUCCGCUCAGGGUUAGUCGGGACCUAAGCCGAGGCCGAUAGGCGUAGGCGAUGGACAACAGGUAGAGAUUCCUGUACCAGUGCUAAUUGUUUAACCGAUGGGGUGACACAGAAGGAUAGGGAAUCGCACGAAUGGAAAUGUGCGUCCAAGCAGUGAGUGUGAGAAGUAGGCAAAUCCGCUUCUCGCGAAGCAUGAGCUGUGAUGGGGAAGGAAAUUAAGUACGGAAGUUCCUGAUUUCACGCUGUCAAGAAAAGCCUCUAGGAAGAGUAGUACUGCCCGUACCGCAAACCGACACAGGUAGAUGAGGAGAGAAUCCUAAGGUGAGCGAGAGAACUCUCGUUAAGGAACUCGGCAAAAUGACCCCGUAACUUCGGGAGAAGGGGUGCUCUAUUAGGGUGCAAGCCCGAGAGAGCCGCAGUGAAUAGGCCCAGGCGACUGUUUAGCAAAAACACAGGUCUCUGCAAAACCGUAAGGUGACGUAUAGGGGCUGACGCCUGCCCGGUGCUGGAAGGUUAAGAGGAGUGCUUAGCUUCGGCGAAGGUACGAAUUGAAGCCCCAGUAAACGGCGGCCGUAACUAUAACGGUCCUAAGGUAGCGAAAUUCCUUGUCGGGUAAGUUCCGACCCGCACGAAAGGCGCAACGAUCUGGGCACUGUCUCAACGAGAGACUCGGUGAAAUUAUAGUACCUGUGAAGAUGCAGGUUACCCGCGACAGGACGGAAAGACCCCGUGGAGCUUUACUGCAACCUGAUAUGGAAUGUUUGUACCGCUUGUACAGGAUAGGUAGGAGCCGAAGAGACGUGUGCGCUAGCAUACGAGGAGGCAAUGGUGGGAUACUACCCUGGCUGUAUGACCAUUCUAACCCGCCACGCUUAGCGCGUGGGGAGACAGUGUCAGGUGGGCAGUUUGACUGGGGCGGUCGCCUCCUAAAGAGUAACGGAGGCGCCCAAAGGUUCCCUCAGAAUGGAUGGAAAUCAUUCGCAGAGUGUAAAGGCACAAGGGAGCUUGACUGCGAGACUGACAAGUCGAGCAGGGACGAAAGUCGGGCUUAGUGAUCCGGUGGUUCCGCAUGGAAGGGCCAUCGCUCAACGGAUAAAAGCUACCCCGGGGAUAACAGGCUUAUCUCCCCCAAGAGUCCACAUCGACGGGGAGGUUUGGCACCUCGAUGUCGGCUCGUCGCAUCCUGGGGCUGUAGUCGGUCCCAAGGGUUGGGCUGUUCGCCCAUUAAAGCGGCACGCGAGCUGGGUUCAGAACGUCGUGAGACAGUUCGGUCCCUAUCCGUCGCGGGCGCAGGAAAUUUGAGAGGAGCUGUCCUUAGUACGAGAGGACCGGGAUGGACACACCGCUGGUGUACCAGUUGUUCCGCCAGGAGCAUCGCUGGGUAGCUAUGUGUGGCAGGGAUAAACGCUGAAAGCAUCUAAGCGUGAAGCCCCCCUCAAGAUGAGAUUUCCCAUUUCUUCGGAAAGUAAGAUCCCUGAAAGAUGAUCAGGUAGAUAGGUUUGGAGUGGAAGUGUAGCGAUACAUGGAGCGGACAAAUACUAAUCGAUCGAGGACUUAACCAAAA